rnacentral:rRNA from 1 species
GACGAACCGUGCAAACGUUAUUCGGAAUCACUGGGCUUAAAGCGCGUGUAGGCGGGCCUCUGCGUCGGUCGCUGAAAGCCCCCGGCUCAACCGGGGAAGCGGCGCCGAAACGAGCGGCCUGGAGGGGGGUAGGGGGACCUGGAACUUCCGGUGGAGCGGUGAAAUGCGUUGAGAUCGGAAGGAACGCCCGUGGCGAAAGCGAGGUCCUGGACCCUUUCUGACGCUGAGACGCGAAAGCCAGGGGAGCGAACGGG